rnacentral:lncRNA from 1 species
UGAACAAGGAAAAACACAAAACAAUGAACAAGGGAAAAACGAAGAGUGAGACAGAUUGCAAGAUGCUGUGCUGCCGGCUCUGAAGAUGGAAGAAGAGGCCCAUAACCAAGGAAUUCAGAAGGCCUCUAGAAGCAGAGAAUUAUUUUUAGGAUAUGAAACUUUAAAAAAUCAUUUCAGAAGAAAGAGCAUUUGACCCUUUCCUGCUAGCUGUUCAGACCAGCCCAUUUCAACAAGUGAUACAGAUUUGGGAUUUCCUGGUAGCAGGAGCUGGGCUGGUCACCUCCGGAUCUCCCAGGCCUAGCAUGGAUACUGAAUGGAAUGCUUUAGAAGAUGUGAGUGGUACCUGGCAACAUCAUGAAGUUGAUGAAACUUUUCUGCCACGCUGUCAUAUCCUGGCAUGAUGGUCUGGGUUCCUGGAAAGGAACAAUAGAUAAUGUGGAUACAGCGUGAGCUGGGCAUCUGGUGCUUUUCCUGGGGCAUUAGACACUUUAAUCCUCAUAAAGACCUUACAAGGUAGGAGUUGAUAUUAUCACAGCCCCACUUCCCAGAAGAGGAACAAGAGGGUGGGAAGUUAAGUAACUUGCUCAAGGUCAUACCAUUAAUUCAUAGUGGAGCCCAGGUUCAAACCUAGACAGCUGGGUUCAAUCUGUGUUCCUAACCAUC